UACGAAGGGGGCUAGCGUUGCUCGGAAUUACUGGGCGUAAAGCGCACGUAGGCGGCUUUCUAAGUCGGGGGUGAAAUCCUGGAGCUCAACUCCAGAACUGCCUUCGAUACUGGAGAGCUUGAGUCCGGGAGAGGUGAGUGGAACUGCGAGUGUAGAGGUGAAAUUCGUAGAUAUUCGCAAGAACACCAGUGGCGAAGGCG
rnacentral:rRNA from 1 species